rnacentral:rRNA from 1 species
AACGAACGCUGGCGGCAUGCCUAACACAUGCAAGUCGAACGAUGCCUUCGGGCAUAGUGGCGCACGGGUGCGUAACGCGUGGGAAUCUGCCCUUGGCUUCGGAAUAACAGUUAGAAAUGACUGCUAAUACCGGAUGAUGUCCCCCUGAGAGAUCUUGGGGACCAAAGAUUUAUCGGCCAGGGAUGAGCCCGCGUAGGAUUAGGUAGUUGGUGGGGUAAAGGCCUACCAAGCCGACGAUCCUUAGCUGGUCUGAGAGGAUGAUCAGCCACACUGGGACUGAGACACGGCCCAGAAUCCUACGGGAGGCAGCAGUGGGGAAUAUUGGACAAUGGGGGGAACCCUGAUCCAGCAAUGCCGCGUGAGUGAUGAAGGCCUUAGGGUUGUAAAGCUCUUUUACCAGGGAUGAUAAUGACAGUACCUGGAGAAUAAGCUCCGGCUAACUCCGUG